CUCCCUCUCUCUCUCUCUCUGCCUCUCUCUCUCUCCCUCUCUCUCUCUCUCUCUCUCUCUCUCUGUGUAAAAAGGUAUCGUGUUUUACUCUGGAAGUCUCCUCUGCUCUCUCUCAACCACGCUCAAUCAUUCAUUAGAUUAAUUAGUCUUGAGGUUUUUCAUUCACACGCUGUAUUCCAUUACAUUCCUUAGGUCGUCAUGGUCUGUCUGUCUGUCGGUCUGUGUCUGUCUGUCUGUCUCCUGGUGAAGAAAUAACACCGUGGUCAUGUUCACUAGGUGAAACGGGUGAAAAAGAUUCUGAAACUACACAAACUAGUCCAAUAAGAACACCGAUUUUGUUUUUCUGUUGCAAACGGUUUUACUACGGUGUGCCCUACUGAGGGGACGCUCCCUACAGCCUGCGGUCACUAGGUAACCCACACCAGGAAGAGAGAGGUCUGGUUUAGAACGCCCUACAGCCUGCUGUCACUAGGUAACCCACACCAGGAAGAGAGAGGUCUGGUUUAGAACGCCCUACAGCCUGCUGUCACUAGGUAACCCACACCAGGAAGAGAGAGGUCUGGUUUAGAACGCCCUACAGCCUGCUGUCACUAGGUAACCCACACCAGGAAGAGAGAGGUCUGGUUUAGAACGCCCUACAGCCUGCUGUCACUAGGUAACCCACACCAGGAAGAGAGAGGUCUGGUUUAACCAUAUCAUCACAUACAGAUCCAUGUGUCUUCUUUCCAUAUCGGGAUUUCUAUCAGCAUCACAAAUAGAGUUUCUGGUUCAGCCUGUUGUCCAUGUGUCCCCCAGGUCAACUGUCCUCUUCUCCUGUUGUCCAUGUGUCCCCCAGGUCAACUGUCCUCUUCUCCUGUUGUCCAUGUGUCCCCCAGGUCAACUGUCCUCUUCUCCUGUUGUCCAUGUGUCCCCCAGGUCAACUGUCCUCUUCUCCUGUUGUCCAUGUGUCCCCCAGGUCAACUGUCUUCUUCUCCUGUUGUCCAUCAUCAUAUUCAUGGUGUAUCACUGGUUUUAAUAGUGAGGUGACUGCUCUCUGACUGACUGUUGUGGGUUGACUGUUGUGGCUUCUCUCUGACUGACUUGUGGGUUGACUGUUGUGGGUUGACUUGUGGGUUAAUCUCUGACUGACUGUUGUGGGUUGACUGUUGUGGGUUGACUGCUGUGGGUUGCUGUCUGACUGACUGUUGUGGGUUGACUGCUGUGGG
ensembl:lncRNA